rnacentral:rRNA from 1 species
UUCCUACGGGUGGCAGCAGUGGGGAAUUUUGGACAAUGGGCGCAAGCCUGAUCCAGCAAUGCCGCGUGCAGGAAGAAGGCCUUCGGGUUGUAAACUGCUUUUGUCAGGGAAGAAAUCCUCUGGGCUAAUACCUCGGGGGGAUGACGGUACCUGAAGAAUAAGCACCGGCUAACUACGUGCCAGCAGCCGCGGUAAUACGUAGGGUGCGAGCGUUAAUCGGAAUUACUGGGCGUAAAGCGUGCGCAGGCGGCUUUGCAAGCAAGAGGUGAAAUCCCCGGGCUCAACCUGGGAACUGCCUUUGUGACUGCAAGGCUAGAGUACGGCAGAGGGAGAUGGAAUUCCGCGUGUAGCAGUGAAAUGCGUAGAUAUGCGGAGGAACACCGAUGGCGAAGGCAAUCUCCUGGGCCUGUACUGACGCUCAUGCACGAAAGCGUGGGGAGCAAACAGGAUUAGAUACCCUGGUAGUCCA